GCAGGCGUGGCGAAAUCGGUAGACGCACAGGACUUAAAAUCCUGAGGUUCCAGCAAUGGGCCGUGUCGGUUCAAGUCCGACCGCCUGCACCA
rnacentral:tRNA from 1 species